rnacentral:misc_RNA from 1 species
UUCCCUGAUAUUAAAUACAAAAUCCUUAUUUUCAUUUUAAUUCACAUUAUUUUCUUUUUUGUUAGUUUAAUGCCCUUUCUCCAUUGUUUAUUCACAGGGGAAAUCAGUUUCUGGAAUUUUUCAAUGGAGUGGGAGAGAGAAAUUAACAAAGUACGAGAUGAUGCUGAUUAUGUCAAGAGUUUUCUCACUUCCACAUGACCAUAUUACACCCAACCACACUGCUGGAGCACUCAGACCUUAUGAUCCUGAGAUGGAUGUGUCCCGCCUCAUUGAGUUAGGGAUAUCUCACCACUCCAAGUUUGAGGAUGGAAUAAAGGAAUGUUUAUCUCCCUGGUUGUAAGGUUCCAUCAACGCCAGAGUGGCUACACCGAGCUACCCAAUUUCAAGAAAAUUUCCAGUUUCCUCUGUGUCUUGGUGCAAGUGAUGGGAAUUUUGUUAUCAUUCAAGCCACAUUUCACAGUGGCAGUGACUUCUAUAAUUACAAGUCUAAUUUUAGCAUUGCUUGUUGGCACUCGUGGACGCUGAGUACAACUUCACAUUUGUAGAUGUUGGCUGCCAAGGACGAAUCUCCGACGGCAGUGUCAAGUGAAAGAGUAUUCAAUAUGCGUCUCAGUCGCGCAACAGGAAUAGUUGAGAAAGUGUUUGGAAUUCUGUCUUAAAUUUUCCGAGCCAGAAAAGGCACAGACUGUUGUCAUGACAGUUGCUUGUUUACACAAUUUUCUCAAAAGAAACCAGAUUUCCAGAAAUGUUUACACACCUCAUGGAACCUUUGACCAUGACGACGAGGAAGGCAAUUUUGUGUCUGGUAGCUGGAGGUUGGAAAGCAGUUUUGAAAUAUCAUCCCUCCUACCCAUCAGAAACAUACCACGGAAGUCAGUGAUGAACGCGAAAGAAAUUUGUGAUGCAUUUGCCCAGUAUGUUUUGAGAAAUUGGAUGUGAAACUAACAUAGAGAGAUAAAGUACAGGGGGAAGUGAUAACAGUAACAGCAUACUUCAUUUAUCUAUGUUUUAUAACUAUUUCAUGUGGAAAUGUAAUACAGAAUACAGCCCAUAUAUUACUAUUUACCCAUGGUUAUUUUCGUUCAUCUAAUUCAGUAAAUAAAUAUUUCAAAAUGUU